GCUUACGGCCAUACCAACCUGGCUAUGCCCGAUCUCGUCUGAUCUCGGAAGCUAAGCAGGUUUGGGGCCUGGUUAGUACUUGGAUGGGAGACCUCCUGGGAAUACCAGGUGCUGUAAGGU
rnacentral:rRNA from 1 species